GAUGAACGCUGGCGGUGUGCCUAAUACAUGCAAGUCGAGCGAACAGACGAGGAGCUUACUCCUCUGACGUUAGCGGCGGACGGGUGAGUAACACGUGGAUAACCUACCUAUAAGACUGGGAUAACUUCGGGAAACCGGAGCUAAUACCGGAUAACAUGUUGAACCGCAUGGUUCAACAGUGAAAGACGGUCUUGCUGUCACUUAUAGAUGGAUCCGCGUCGCAUUAGCUAGUUGGUAAGGUAACGGCUUACCAAGGCAACGAUGCGUAGCCGACCUGAGAGGGUGAUCGGCCACACUGGAACUGAGCCACGGUCCAGGCUCCUACGGGGGGCAGCAGUAGGGAAUCUUCCGCAAUGGGCGAAAGCCUGACGGAGCAACGCCGCGUGAGUGAAGAAGGUCUUCGGAUCGUAAAACUCUGUUAUUAGGGAAGAACAAAUGUGUAAGUAACUAUGCACGUCUUGACGGUACCUAAUCAGAAAGCCACGGCUAACUACGUG
rnacentral:rRNA from 1 species